UGUAGUAAUUAAACAGCUCUGAGGCUCAAUAUGGGAGGUGGGCCACACACAGCAGACGCUAAAAAUCAGCUGCUUCUUGACUGAGAGUAAUUUUUGCCUAAGAGGGCAAGGGAAAAAAAUUAAGAAAAUUGUGACUGAGAUGCAGAAUGCCAUGAUAUUUAUUUGAGCAUGAAGGGGACGGUUUGGGGGAGAGACAUGACUUCCCUGCUCAUCUAACUGGAAGGAGCUGGUAUGAGCAUGCGUUGCUUAAAGAGGUAGAGCAAGUCACAGUAGGACCAAAAGAAUCCACAUCCUCUGCUUUCAGAAGCAAGGACCAGCUACUCACCUAAUAUGGCACAGAACAUCAACCAGGUAAACAUCAAUCAGAACAGAACAUCAACAGGUAAAAUAGAACAUCAACCUGUCCAGAACAUCAACAGAACUCCACAUGGUACUCAUCAUCACUGUUCCUGAAGAUCCUCUGACCCUUGGAACUGCAUUUCAGAGGAGCACAGUAGGUUGCAACAGCAAGUCGAAGCAGGAAAGUUUGAUCUCAUGAUUGGAGCUCUGCUUGUUGUACUUUGGAUCCAUCCUAUCAGCCCCAACCCACAGUUAGAUACA